AUUGAACGCUGGCGUCAUGCCUUACACAUGCAAGUCGAACGGCAGCACGGGAGCAAUCCUGGUGGCGAGAGGCGAACGGGUGAGUAAUAUAUCGGAACGUGCCCAGUCGUGGGGAUAACGUAGCGAAAGCUACGNUAAUACGCAUACGAUCUAUGGAUGAAAGCGGGGGAUCGCAAGACCUCGCGCGAUUGGANCGGCGAUAUCAGAUUAGGUAGUUGUGAGGUAAAGGCUCACCAAGCCGACGAUCUGUAGCUGGUCUGAGAGG
rnacentral:rRNA from 1 species